rnacentral:rRNA from 1 species
AACGAACGCUGGCGGCAGGCUUAACACAUGCAAGUCGAACGCCCCGCAAGGGGAGUGGCCGACGGGUGAGUAACGCGUGGGAACAUACCCUUUUCUACGGAAUAGCUCUGGGAAACUGGAAUUAAUACCGUAUACGCCCUACGGGAGAAAGAUUUAUCGGGGAAGGAUUGGCCCGCGUUGGAUUAGCUAGUUGGUGGGGUAAAGGCCUACCAAGGCGACGAUCCAUAGCUGGUCUGAGAGGAUGAUCAGCCACAUUGGGACUGAGACACGGCCCAAACUCCUAAGGGAGGCAGCAGUGGGGAAUAUUGGCCAAUGGGCGCAAGCCUGAUCCAGCCAUGCCGCGUGAGUGAUGAAGGCCUUAGGGUUGUAAAGCUCUUUCACCGAUGAAGAUAAUGACGGUAGUCGGAGAAGAAGCCCCGGCUAACUUCGUG